rnacentral:rRNA from 1 species
CGCGAAAGGGUAGCAAUACCCGAGUAAAGCGGCGAACGGGUGAGUAACACGUGGUUAACCUGCCGGGAUGUGGGGGAUACCCCGGGGAAACCCGGGCUAAUACCGCAUGAUGUCCUCCGGGCGCUGGCCUGGGGGAGCAAAGCCGGGGAUCGCAAGACCUGGCGCAUUCCGAGGGGACCGCGGCCGAUUAGCUAGUUGGCGGGGUAACGGCCCACCAAGGCGACGAUCGGUAGCCGGACUGAGAGGGUGAUCGGCCACUCCGGAACUGAGACACGGUCCGGACUCCUACGGGAGGCAGCAGUGGGGAAUUUUGCGCAAUGGGCGAAAGCCUGACGCAUCACCGCCGCGUGGAGGAUGAAGGUUCUCUGAAUCGUAAACUCCUGUCGGCCGGGACGAAUGAACGGAAUGCUAAUCAGUUCAGUUUUGACUGUACCGUCAAAGGAAGCCCCGGCUAACUACGUGCCAGCAGUCGUGGUAAUACGGAGGGGGCAAGCGUUACUUGGAAUUCUUGGGGGUAAAGGGCGCGUAGGCGGUCCCGCACGUUGGAGGUGAAAUCCCCGGGCUCAACCCGGGAGCUGCCUCUGAUACGUCGGGGCUUGAGUCCUGGGAGAGGGGAGCAGAAUUCCCAGUGUACCGGUGAAAUGAGUAGAUAUUGGGAGGAAUACCGGUGGCGAAGGCGGCUCCCUGGACCGGUACCGACGAUGAGGCGCGAAAGCGUGGGUAGCAAACAGGAUUAGAUACCCUGGUUGUCCACGCCGUAAACGAUGGGUGAUUGGUGUCGGGGGUAUCGACCCCUCCGGUGCCGAAGCUAACGCAUUAAG